GGAGAGGCUGUGUGGGGUUAGGCUCCCCAGACAAGGGACUCUCUGCUGCAAAAGGGAGUCCUCCAUUUUAUGAAAAGCUGGGAAGAGCCAUCCAGUCAUGGUAUCUGCGAGGGAGUUUCCCCACGGUCAGCAAUGUGAGUAAGAUGCUCUUUCUGCACCUUGUGCCACAUAUUCAGCCCUGGGAACAGAUGUGCAAGAACAAGGCUUAGGUGGAAUUGGCACUUCAUACCAUCAAGAUAAGGCGAUGUGGCUUUGAGCAGAGAACAUAAACAGUGUGGCUCAGCUCAGAAGGUCACGCCUCUGGGGGAAAAAAAAAACAUGUGUGGGAACAUCCAUUCUGCCCGAUUGCUGCUGCUUCUACUUGCUUCAGCAGUGGGAGAGAAUAGCACAUUAUGCCAGUACCAAGAGAUCACCAACAAGAACAGCAGCAGCUGUGGAGUGGAGCUAACCUGAGCCUGGGAGACAAUGAGCGUAAGGGGGGUAACCAACCUCCAACCUCGGGAGAUAUGCUGGGCACUUACUACAACUGAAGUCCUUACCUGGGAAGAUCCAGUGGCCCUGUGGACUGAUACUUCUAUUACAGCCCAAGCCAUGGAAGAGUUCCCCAUUCAUUUACAUUAACAGCAGAGGCUUCUUCAUUAAAAUGGAAAUGAUAUCUACUAGAUCGAAGAGAACUCAGCCCUAAUUGACUGUCACAAUUACAUGAGGAAACAUGCAUGGACUCUGCUAUUAUGCUGAACGUAUUAAGCCCUCCUCCCAAACGGUCUGCCUUUUGUGACAUGCAGAAAGUAAAAGGAACGAUCUCUUUUUACCUAGAGUCUGUACACGGGGUAUAAGGAAGCAAAUCUCUCAGGACUAUUAAAAUAAAAACCACAACUAGGGAUAUACAGAGAAACCCUGUCUCGAAAAACAAACAAACAAACAAACAAACAAACAAAACCAAACAAACAAAACCAAACAAACAAAAAAACUGUUCGUGGCCACCAUUCUGCAAAAAUCAUGAAGACUAAUACGCUAGUCUGCUACUCCAGAGGAACCAGGGCUGCUGCAAGUGAUUUGUGGUCCAGUUUCAUCCUUCACCUCCAUCAGUUUCGGCACACAAGCCACAUAGGAUAGAACCGUAAUAGUGGACAAAGCAGGAGAAACCCACAGGUGUCCAGGCAUUGAAUGCACAGCAGACUGGAAGGAUGAAGGAGAGUAUGGAACAGGCACAGGUUAACUAACACCUGGGUAGAGAACAUCAAAAUAUGCCAUCCAAAUGAACACUUGUUAUAAGGAACAAGGAGAGAGAACUUCUCACUCACCCCUGACAUAUUCAUGAGAGAGUUACAGUUUGGUUUUGAAGAAUGGAACAAAGGCAAGAACUGUGCAUAUGCAGAUGCGAUGUCAUUCUCACAUCAUCAAAACCGGGAGAAAAUAUUUAUGCUGCUGAUUUACAGAAUUCAAUCAUUUUGAUUUUGGAAGUCAAAGAGAUGCUCCCCAAAAUAGACUAUUGCAUUGUCCUUGGCUGCCUAUCAGGACCUGAAGGUUGGAGACCUGAUAUGAGACAAAAUGGCUGAAGUGGAACGUCUUGGAGAGAAGGCUCUUGGUCAUUACAAAGUGGUUGGCAGCAGAUGUUCUGGGAACCCCAAGCUCCUCACAAUCUCUUCGGCCUCCAACCUCCUAUGACCCUCCUACUUUCCUGGCACUGGAACAUGGAACACACAGCUGAUAGCCUCAUGAAGAAUGAAGACAUUUUAGGAAGGACAAAAUAUUUUUCUACAAGCAUGCCCACAAGAGACCCAUCCCCUUCAGGUGAGCGUGUGAAAGCCAGAAGUCAACAUGAUGCGGUAGGUUUCUAUCUUCCCACCAUGUAGGUCCCUUGUCUGAUACCCAGGUCCUCCAGCUUGGUGCCAGAGAGGUACCUGUUCUCCCUGGAGAAAGACUUGCCAUUUCUCUCUGGUAAGCUAAAGCUAUAGGUGCGUAUUUCAUGUCCUUGGUUUUUCUAUAAAUUAUAGCAAAUUUAACACUGCUUCAGGCAAGGUAUAGUAAGACUGAAAAUGUCUCUGUCCCCAGUUCUUUCAAAACUCUAGAACAAAAAUCUGUUUUUCCUGUUUCUUUCUCUAUAUUGUCCUUUUUUAUAAAAGCAGGCGAGCGUUUGAACUCAGGGGCCGACCUUGUGCUUAGGACUCCAGUAAGAUGAGGAUUUAUGUGCAUUUCCUGCUGUCCUUGGAAAGGUUUUUCAUCAGACUUUGAUUUGUAGGAGUUUUUCUCUUGUGUUUACAGGAUCUCCCUAUGCAGAUCAAGCAAACCUGGAAUUCACAGAGAUCUGCCUGACUCUGUCUCACUAGUGCUGGGAUUAAAGGUGUCUAUGUUUGUGCAGAUGACUCAAAAUCCAGAAGAAGAGGCUAGCUCCCCUUGAGCUGGAGUUACAGGCAGUGUUACAAGUGAUAUUGGAUACUGCCACUCUCACAAAGUACUUAGGAUCAGAAGAUAAAUGGGUGGAAUUAGAAGAGAUCACAUUGAGUGAGAUAAUCCAGAUUCAGAAAGACAAGGAUCACAUUUGCUCUCAUCUGUGGCUCCUAAUUCCAAAAUUUCAAGUGAAUGAUGGUGCUCAUAUGAAAUGCAAGCUGUACCAGAGGCUGAUGGAGGAUAGCAAAGUUGGGGCCAGUUUCGACAACUUGGGGUUCUGGGAGGCACCAGCAGCUUAUAUCAUGUUGGGAGUUUCUUGGACUCUGCUGAGCAAGAACUAGAAGGAAUUAUGAGUGGCAACAAAUGUAGCCAAGGAAACAUCUGUGGAGUAGGAUGCCUAUCCCCCUCCCUUUUAUUUGAAUCCUCCAAACUGGUUUCUACAGUGGCUGCCCGAGUUCCCAAUGUAAAAACACAUGGACAUAAGCCAAGAAAAUCAAAGCAUACCUACAGUAACCACAUGGCUCCAUUGGCUGAAAUGAACUCUAUUGUUGUGUGGCUCAGAGACAGGAAAGAAAGGCAACGGCAGUGCUUCUCUAAGAGAAAGUUCUCGGAGACAGGCCCCAAAGACCUGCUGGCACAACAGAAAGGAACAUUUCAAGAAUCAAUCAUCAAAGGACUCCAAAAAUGGAAGGAUGAAGUUGUCAUUUCAGGGAAAUCAAGACAACACCACUGUAUGUGAACAUGAGGGCAAGUGCUUGAGGAGGACAGAGGUAUCACACACCCUGGACAUGGUAUUGCAGCCAGUUGAGAGCCUUCUGAUGUGGAUGCUGGGAACCAAGCUCAGGUCUUCUACAAGAAGAGCAACUGCUGUUACACACUGAGCUCUCUCCAGCCCUGUACACUUUUGUUCCAGGGUUUCAUACAAGCACGCAAUGUGUAUUGAUCAAAUUCCCUCCCUUCCCCGCCCCCAUCCUCCUCACCACUUUCCCUCUGAAUUUCAUACGCUCUUAUUUUUAAUACACUGACUUCACUUACUACUGCCUGUAUGGACAUCGAUGCAGAACCACCUACAAGGGCAUGACUAGGCUCUCCGGAGCAGUAUCCUUGAAGAAAACUGUUUCUUUCUCCCCAAGUAGCCAUCAAUUUCAAUAGCUUCUCAGCCAGAGUGGAACUUCAGAAACAGCGAGGAUGACAUGUUUGAUCUUAUGCAGGGCUCGUGCAUGUGGCCACAACCACUGAGAGUUCGUGUGUGCAAUGGUGCUAUCAUAACUGGCAAAUAGUUUUUCACAGCAUAUGUCUACUAUCUCUGGCUCUUACCAUCAGUCUACUCUGUAUUUUGAUUUUGUGCCAAUAUUAUAAAUGAUAGUCAGCAGUGAAUAAUUGUUGGGAAGGGUACUAAGAGAUUAGAGAUAGCUAGAUAAGUAUUAAUAAUAAGGUCACAAAAUUUAAAGAAUUGAAAUUUAAAAUGAAACUUAUAUUAGCAUUAGUUAUUUUUAAGGCAAGAAAAUAGAUUAUAUGAAUGUCAUCUAGCUUAAGCAUAUAUGUGUUUAAAAAUAUUACAGAAGUGCACUAUAAUAUCUGAGGUCUUCACAUUCCCUUACCAGUGACUCAUUCCCUCAUCCAGGGCAAUUUCUAGUCCUUAAAGCCUCAUUCUUGGUAUUACUUAACAGACACACUAUUUAUUUAACCAUCCACCUUGUGGCUUUGCUCUAUCUUUUCUAUGUUCAGGUACACGAACACUUGCCAUUUUAUUACAGUUUCCCACUGUAUUCAGUAAAGUAGCAUGCUGUAGAAAUUUAUGACCUGAGAGCUAUAGAAUAAUACAUCAUUCAACCUUGGUAUGUAGCAGAGCUGGAGCAUCUAAGUUUCUGUAAGCCCACGCUGUCAUUUUCAAAAUGAUGAAUGUGCCUGAUAACAUUUUCAAGAGCAUAUCUCCAUUGUUAAAUGAUUUAUGUAUCACAUUUUUUAAAAUACAUAAAAACAUCUUUGUUGAACUGGUAUUGAACACCGGGGGACCACAUGAAAUAAUCAUAAAAUGAGUA
rnacentral:lncRNA from 1 species